rnacentral:rRNA from 1 species
CCUACGGGCGGCAGCAGUGAGGAAUAUUGGGCAAUGGCCGUAAGGCUGACCCAGCGACGUCGCGUGAAGGAAGAAGGAUCUAUGGUUUUUAAACUUCUUUUAUAGGGGAGUACAGGUAUCCUCGUGUGGAUAUUUGCAUGUACCCUAUGAGUAAGCAUCGGCUAGCUCCGUGCCAGCAGCCGCGGUAAUACGGAGGAUGCGAGCGUUAUCCGGAUUUAUUGGGUUUAAAGGGUGCGUAGGUUGUUUUUUAAGUCAGCGGUGAAAGUUUGUGGCUCAACCAGAAAAUUGCCGUUGAAACUGGAAGACUGGAGUGUGUUUGAGGUAGGCGGAAUGCGUGGUGUAGCGGUGAAAUGCAUAGAUAUCACGAAGAACUCCGAUUGCGAAGGCAGCUUACUAAGACAUAACUGACACUGAAGCACGAAAGCGUGGGGAGCAAACAGGAUUAGAUACCCGAGUAGUC